GAUGAACGCUGGCGGCGUGCCUAAUACAUGCAAGUCGAGCGAACAGACGAGGAGCUUGCUCCUCUGACGUUAGCGGCGGACGGGUGAGUAACACGUGGAUAACCUACCUAUAAGACUGGGAUAACUUCGGGAAACCGGAGCUAAUACCGGAUAAUAUAUUGAACCGCAUGGUUCAAUAGUGAAAGACGGUUUUGCUGUCACUUAUAGAUGGAUCCGCGCCGCAUUAGCUGGUUGGUAGGGUAACGGCUACCAAGGGGACGAGGGGGAGGCGACCUGAGAGGCUGAUCGCCCACACUAGAACUGAGACACGGUCCAGAGUCCUACGGGAGGCAGCAGUAGCCAAUCUUCCGCAAUGGGCGAAAGCCUGGCGGAGCAACGCGGCGUGAGUGAUGAAGGCCUUCGGAUCGUAAAACUCUGUUAUUAGGGAAGAACAACUGUGUAAGUAAAUAUGCACGUCUUGACGGUACCUAAUCAGAAAGCAACGGCUAACUACGUG
rnacentral:rRNA from 1 species